UAUACACAAUCUUUAAAUUACUCUAAAUAUUGAAAAUAGAUAGUUUUAGAACAAAUAAAUUUUAAAACCUAUAUAGAGUCAGGGUAUACAUAAUAUAAACAGUCCCCUCCCCUACCACUGCCUCUGACCAGAUUUAUUCAAACCACGGAAACUAAUUCCAAAUUUUGUAAUUGAUUGUUCUACCAAAAAUAAUCAACAUUAUUAAUAUAAAUGUUACAUAGAACCUACGUACAGAAUCAGUGUACAUUCCACAGCAUUAGAAUACAUUAUUAAAAGAGAACUUUUUCCCCAUCAGAAAAGCAAUUUACAUUUUUCAGAAGGUAACAAAACACUCAAAAGAAAAAAGUGGAAAAUAAUGGAAAACUCUCAAACUGGAUUGUAGUAUUUUAAAAUGAAAACUGUCAAUACAUAUCCCAGAGUUUAUUAUGCAAUCUUACAUGCUCCUGGCUUUAUCUACUUGUCAGCAAAUAACUUACAAGCCGUUAUAAAAAAUUGUUUACCUUUUUCCCUUCCUCCCCAAUUGUCUUAUAUGUCAUUCUGCAGUUUGGCCUGUAGGUAGCAAUCUUGCACCAUAAAAAGCUCUCCAUUUACUCAUUUAUUUAGGCUGGAAAAGCUUACAGCAUUACAGAUCUAUUAAAUGUAAGCAAUGUUAUUUGCAUAUAUUCCAGACUUUGAUGAUGGUCUGUGGCCUACAAAUUAUUUAUGCAGUUUUUUGGUCUUGAAGUUCAUGAAAUUGUUCAGAGGUGACUUUACUUUCCAUUGUGACCCCAUGUAGGUGGCAAACAGCCAAAUGGUUGGGCGCAUAACCUGGAAUCUUAAAAAUCUUAAGGCCUCAUGCCUGAAAAAUAAUGUUUUGUUUCCCAUACAACCCUUCGGAUAAAAGAGAAAUCCACAAGUCUUCUAAAAUGGAGAAUAAUGCUUUAGUACCUAUGAGCAAAGAUUACAAGAAAGUGCCUCUGAAGUCAGGUACUCUCACAUGCAAUGAAGCAAUUGCUGUUAAGUAAUUGAGAAUCUUUAACAGUUUAGACCUACUUAAUCUUGUUUCUAUUAAGAAUAGUUAAAAGCCAAAAAAAGCAUUAUUAUUGAUUUGUUAUUUUUAAAUACUACAAAGUACCAUCGCAUAUAUAUUCUUUAAAUGGCAAAGAUCAUUUUCUUUUUUUUGUUCUCAGCUGUUUUACUGGAAUCAUUGAUAACAGUGUACUAAUUCACAGUUGCAGAGCAUGUGUUUCAUACCAAAAUUUACUUUUAUUUCUAAUCCGUGGGUUGAAAAUAAUAUAUUAUGUUUUUAAACUCAAAAUGUUGAAAAAUAUUUAAAAGUAUAGCUUUUGAUUUAUUUUAGAAGGGUAAUUCUCUUUUUUGUUAACAGGGCUACAUGUCCAGUUUUGAUCUACUUUCAUUCCUUCAUUCUUUCCUUGCAUUGGCUGCACCUACUAAGUGUCCAGGCCCUAUUUUAGAUUAGAUAUCCAAGUUGGUUAGGACCUGACUGUGAAAACAUAUUUUAUUAAAGUAACAGCUUGUUGAGGAGCAGAAUGGAUUUUAAUUACACUGAAAUCUCAUCAGUGUAUUUUACUUUUAAGUUAAUAUUUCAUACUUGUGAAUGUCUAAUUCCAUGCUGUUUUUGUGGUGUUCAAAAAAAAUUAUAAACUCUUAUCCUCAUAUAUAUUCCUUUGCUACCAAGGAACUCAUUGGAUUUUAGAAAACGAAGCUUGGUUCAUUUGAGGGAUCCUUAGAACAAAUUGUUUCUGAAUGAUUGUGUUUCUUAAUAUGGAAUAUCAGAUUUAAAUGGAAAAGAAACUAGCCUUUCAUCAUCACCACUAUGCCAACAUAUUUUAAACUGUCAGCAUUUUAAGUGUCCGCUGUUAACCAAAUUGGCAAUACAUCUUAUUUGGCAAAAAUUGCCCCAUAGUACUAGAAAUUAUAUAUCAUUAGUUAUCACCUUUGUUGAUAAAACUUCAACUACUUAUUUUUGUAAAGUCUGAAAUUAAUCCAAUCAUAAGAAACUUAUGGCUGUGAUGGCAUUUUGGACCUGUCAUGCCCACUUUUUCUAAUACUUGCAAAGGUUACAGAGUGCAGUUUCAGGAACAAGAAGAGCUUAUUGUUUGUGAGGAGUAGCCUUUGAUUCCAUGGAUCAGUGGUUAUUAGAGCUGCAGCUGGUUCACAACAAAUAUUCACAUCUUAAGUGAUCAGAUAGAGAAGUCAUUUUCUCACAGAGUAACCCCUCAGAUCUAGGGGCGGGGGAAAGGCGGGAGGAACGCUCAGAAAGAAAUAACUUAAGUGAUGAAGGAGUUUCGAACCUACUGGUGAAACUGGGAUGAGAAAACUAACUUUAAUGUGGUAGGGAGGCUUUUUCAUUUCUUAGUGUUACACAUUUGAUUUUGAAUCCUUUAUUCUUCUAAGACUUUCUGGAUGUAAGAUUCAAUGACAUAGUCCUUUAUUAAGUGUAGUUGAUUUACAUAUUGAUUUUAAUCAGAUUCGGGCAUAAUUUUAAAUCAUUAUUUUUUAGUGCGCUCUUUUCAACUCUGAAAAUGUCCUUUCUGUUAGCUAAAAAUGUAGAUCCUCUGACCCGCCUUCUCUCCACUUGCUCACUACCCCUCCCAAAUCAAGGCUUAAGCUAGGAUACCAAACUGGUGAAGGACCUUCAAUUUCAAGGGAUCAGUUCUUAUCUGAGCUAAAUGAAGCUGAAGUUGCAGAUGAAAAUAGAAGAGUGGAAAAACAGGUGCUUAAGCAGAGAUCCCUUCUUGUGUGUGGGAGAGGUUGCAGAACAAAGAAACCAACUUUCUCUGUCGAACCUCAGAGAUCCUAUUUCCAAGGAAAUAAAAUGGAUACAUCUCAGAACUAAGAAAAACAUAAGGAAUUUUGAUCUUUCAUUUCUUCAUUUUCUCAGGAGAUGUGAAAAUACAUCUGGAACAGAAACAGAAGUAUAGAAAAAGGCUUAGACUCGUCACCACAUUGGAAAAAACAAUUUUGUUUCUCGUUUAAUAACUAAAGAAUAAAGGGUUCCAUUCUUGAGGCAUGAUUACUAUUACAUUUAUAAAUAAAAUCAGCAGCCAAC